rnacentral:rRNA from 1 species
UACGUAGGGUCCGAGCGUUGUCCGGAAUUACUGGGCGUAAAGAGCUCGUAGGUGGUUUGUCGCGUUGUUCGUGAAAACUCACAGCUUAACUGUGGGCGUGCGGGCGAUACGGGCAGACUGGAGUACUGCAGGGGAGACUGGAAUUCCUGGUGUAGCGGUGAAAUGCGCAGAUAUCAGGAGGAACACCGGUGGCGAAGGCGGGUCUCUGGGCCGUUACUGACGCUGAGGAGCGAAAGCGUGGGGAGCGAACAGG